UAUAAUUUUCAUUAAAUUACCUAUGAUAAACCGGUUUUACAAAACUACCCCUUAUAGAACCACCAUGAAACCACAUUAUUUAGAAUGGGUAAAGAAGUAAACUUACAAAUAACAAAAAACAAUCAUUAUAUGAUUUAUAUCUCUCCCUUUUCUCAGAAACAAAAAUGAACAAAAGAAAGGAUUUUUUUCUUUUUCUUUCUGAAACAACACAGAAAAAAAAAAAGUGAUAAACCUAAAAAAAAAAAGAAUCACAGCCGCAGACAACACUCGCAGAGAAUAGGGAUAGAUUCAUAGAUCUCUUUUGAAAACUUUCCCAGCAGAGGGUCUCCAACUUUUACACACCCAAGAAAGGAUUUCUUCUACACAACCCUCUGCAAUACACUAAAUUAGUCCAGUCGGGGUUUCAUUAUGCUUUAGUAAGGGGGAAACCUGGGUUUAGCAAUCCAGGUCGCAGACGCACCCCAGGCAUCACUAUUCCAAUCGAAUUGCGACUCUAGAUACAACGAAUCUCCGCCGUGUAUGUACUUCCGAUAGCCGCCGUCGUCGGCGGUCUUGACAGGCGAACAAAUCGCGACUCCACAACCUUUUUCAAGCUCAAAAUCCUCCUCCUCUACGAAUCAUACCCUUUUGAUUUUCAUUUUUCCCCUAAACCCAGAUAACUCAUCUAGCCUCUGCAUAUUUUACUUAAGCAGGGUAGAUUUGAUCGGUUGAAUUGUUGACUAUUAACAUUUAGGGCUAAUUACAUAAAAGUCCACUUGGAGACAUUUUCUCCUAUAUAGGUCCACCUAAACAUUUUCUCCUAUAUAGGUCCACCUAAACAUUUUUAUUCAUAUAAGUCCACCCAAGCCUAAAUAGAGUCUUAUCUUAGGUAUUAAAGUUCAACAAAAUUACAGAAUACCAUCCAACCAAAAAAAUUAGAUUUUCUCUUUUAUAUUUACAAAAAUGUCACUAAUGUAAAAAGUCAACAACCACAAAUGAUCUCCGGUUGACCUCAGACAAGGUCUCCGGCCGACCUCCGGCAAACUUUCCGGCCGACCUCCGGCGAACUUCCGGCCGACCAUCUAUGAGGAUUCUAGUGACCACAAAAGCUACUACCAGUGACAACAAAAGAUACUACUGCCGACAAAGAAAGUUACUACCACUGACAACAAAAGAUACUACCGAUAGCAAAAAAAAACUACUGCCACCAGCAACCAGCAAAGAAAUCUACUACCGAUAGCAACAAAAACUACUACUACCAGCAAAGAAAACUACUACCACCGACAAAGAAAGCUACAACCACUGACAACAAAAAAUACUACUGCCACCAGCAAAGAAAUCUACUACCGAUAGCAACAAAAGCUAUUACCACCAGCAAAGAAAGCUACUACCACUGACAACAAAAUAUACUAUUGAUACAAAAACUACUGCCGCCAGCAAAGAAAACUACUACCACUGACAACAAAAGAUACUACCGAUAGCAAAAAAAGCUACUGCCACCAACAAAGAAAGCUACUACCAAUAGCAACAACAACUACUACAGAUAGCAACAAAAACUACUACCGAUAGCAACAAAAGCUACUAAGACCAGCAAAGAAAGCUACUACCACUGACAACAAAAGAUACUACCGACAACAAUAAAAGCUACUGUCACCAGCAAAGAAAGCUACUACUACCACUGACAACAAAAGAUACUACUGUGUCAGUGAGCUGUGACUUGGUUGGUUAAGGUGUUUAACUGACAACUUUGAGGUCAUGGGUUCAAACCUCACGACAUAUGUAGAGUGUGUGAGUUUAUUAAUAAAUUUAAAAAAAAAAAAAACAAAGAUACUACUGUCAGUAACAAAAGCUACUACCACCAGCAAAAAAAAAUACUACCACCAGCAACAAAACUACUACGAUGAGAUUUCUGACAAUAUCCGGCAAGGUCACAAAAGAUACUAUCGCUAGCAACAAAAGUUACUACUAAGCAUCACAAAAACUACUAUUACCAGCAACGAAAACUACUACCAAGCAGGAAAAAAAACUACUACCAAGCAGAUGAAAAACUACUACCAAGUAUAACAAAAGUUAUGAAAGCUACUUUUAGAGACCUACAAAACUAUGAAAUGUAAACGAUACGACUAAUAAAAAUGUUAUUGCAAUCGAGAGAAUAUAAUAAAUUCCAUGGUACAAAAAAUAUGAAGCCUUCUACAUUGAUAUGGUCAUGUACAAAGAUUACAUAAAACUACUACUGUAGUUCCAGAAGUCUACUACAAUAGUUUUAUAAAGCUACUAUCAGUUUUCUAUGGAUGAUACUCGACACUCAUAGGCAUACUUUUUCCACCUUGAGCAUGAUUUUCUUGGUUGGCCCACUGAUCUCUAUGGAAGCUCUGAUUCCCAAACUCACAUGAUUUUCGUAAUCUAUUACGGCUAUGAUAAGGGAAGAAU
rnacentral:lncRNA from 1 species